CCUACGGGAGGCAGCAGUGGGGAAUAUUGCACAAUGGGGGAAACCCUGAUGCAGCGACGCCGCGUGAGUGAUGAAGUAUUUCGGUAUGUAAAGCUCUAUCAGCAGGGAAGAUAAUGACGGUACCUGACUAAGAAGCUCCGGCUAAAUACGUGCCAGCAGCCGCGGUAAUACGUAUGGAGCAAGCGUUAUCCGGAUUUACUGGGUGUAAAGGGAGCGCAGACGGCAGGGCAAGUCUGAUGUGAAAGUCCGGGGCUCAACCCCGGGACUGCAUUGGAAACUGUCCGGCUAGAGUGCAGGAGAGGUAAGUGGAAUUCCUAGUGUAGCGGUGAAAUGCGUAGAUAUCAGGAGGAACACCGGCGGCGAAGGCGGCCUGCUGGACUGAAACUGACGUUGAGGCUCGAAAGCGUGGGGAGCAAACAGGAUUAGAUACCCCAGUAGUC
rnacentral:rRNA from 1 species